ACGAACGCUGGCGGCGUGCUUAACACAUGCAAGUCGCACGGAAAGGCCCUGCUUUUGUGGGGUGCUCGAGCGGCGAACGGGUGAGUAACACGUGAGUAACCUGCCCUUGACUUUGGGAUAACUUCAGGAAACUGGGGCUAAUACCGGAUAGGAGCUCCUGCUGCAUGGUGGGGGUUGGAAAGUUUCGGCGGUUGGGGAUGGACUCGCGGCUUAUCAGCUUGUUGGUGGGGUAGUGGCUUACCAAGGCUUUGACGGGUAGCCGGCCUGAGAGGGUGACCGGCCACAUUGGGACUGAGAUACGGCCCAGACUCCUACGGGAGGCAGCAGUGGGGAAUAUUGCACAAUGGGCGGAAGCCUGAUGCAGCAACGCCGCGCGCGGGAUGACGGCCUUCGGGUUGUAAACCGCUUUCGCCUGUGACGAAGCGUGAGUGACGGUAAUGGGUAAAGAAGCACCGGCUAACUACGUG
rnacentral:rRNA from 1 species